rnacentral:rRNA from 1 species
CCUGACGGUAGUCGUAUGCUCGUCUCCGAGACUAAGCCAUGCAAGUCCAAGUACACGUCCUUGAACGACGGAAACUGCGAAACGGCUCAUUAAAUCAGUUGCGAUCUAACUCGGCGUUUCCGCCGCCGCCGGGAUAACCCGUAGUAAUUCUAGGGCUAAUACGUGCGAAGCGCCCGAAGCCGCGAGGCGACGGGCGUUCUCGCCGGAUGUAGGAACCGACCCGGGGACCGCCGGGGGCAAACCCCGGCGCCCCCCGAGACGGGGCGAACCACGGUGAAAUGACGGAUCGUCGGCCCCGCGCCGGCGACUCGCCGAAUGAGUUUCUGACCUAUCAACUCGAGACGGCGGGGUAGAGGCCCGCCGCGGUAACGACGGGUAACGGGGAAGUCAGGGUUCGAUUCCGGAGAGGGAGCCCGAGAAACGGCUUACCACUUCCCAAGG